UUAUAAUCGCAGGUUUUGGGAGUAGUGUUCUUUAUGCAAUGCCAACGGAGAAAGACAACGAGAUUUUCUUCAUUAUGACUUGGUUUAAAGACAAUUUGUUGGAGUGGGCUGAUAUUUUAUCUUUGUGUCAUCGAAUAGGUUUCCUUUUUGUUUCUGUGAUAAUGCAAGUUCCUUGUAUACAAAUCUGCUACAUGAUUAAACAUACUCAGUAUCUAGUAGGCAUCUUAAAAAGCAUUCUAGAAAAUGUGCAUCAAGGAUUUGAUAAUUUGGACGAACUCGUUUACGACGAUAAAUUUCACAAAGAAAUAAAAAGAAGAUUAGUGUUUAGUACAAAACGCCAUAUUAACCUCGUUCUACUAGGGAGGAAAAUUGUCAGAGACACUGGUCUUUUUGUAUUUUUUUUCUCCAUUAGCGGAGCAAUGUUGGGCAUAAGUCUAAUGAUGCUUUUCUAUGUGGUUGAGGAUACACCGACUUUUGUGAAUGUGCGUCUUUGUGGUCUGAUUUUUGCGGCUACAAUAACAGGGAUGUUAUAUGUGAUACAAGGCCAAAACAUUGAAGAUAUUAGCGUUGAGUUAUUUGAAACUGUGACCCAAAUGGACUGGCAUUACUGGAAUGAAGAAAAUAAAAGAAUUUAUCAGAUUAUGUUUCUUAACACUUUUUAGCCAUUUUCUAUCAGAUUUUCUGAGAAUAUGGCAGUAAAUUACAAAUUAGGAAUUGAGGUAGAUGCAAACAAAGCGAUUCUUUUUACAUCAAAUUUUUCUAGUUGGCAAAAGCUGUAUACUCCAUGAUGUCAUUCAUGACGUAUGUGUCAUUAAAAGUUAAUUAAGCACAAAAACUCACUUUUAAAAUUUCUAGCACCAAAUAUAGCACCUAAGUUAA